GCCCCCUUGGCGAAACUGGUAGACGCACAGGACUUAAAAUCCUGAGCCCUCUGGGCGUGCCGGUUCGACCCCGGCAGGGGGCA
rnacentral:tRNA from 3 species